rnacentral:lncRNA from 1 species
CAUGGACAAUGUGGCGGACCCAUUUCCUAAGCAGCAGAAGGCUGAAGCCCACCUUGAGAAAAUGGGGCUUAGAUAUAUGGUUGAUUAGUGCAAGUGAAAAAUUGUUAGAUGUAUGUACUAGAAGCUAAUCUGGCUGACACAUAAUUUAUUUUGGGAUAUAGUAUUUUACCUGACUUUAUUUUUAUUUAAUAAUAAUGGACAUCUUUUUCAUUCAUAUUGUGUAUGUGUCUAUGAAUCGUCUAAAGAAUUAAUAAGAUAAUGAUACAUAUUCUCAA